UACGUAGGGGGCAAGCGUUGUCCGGAUUUACUGGGCGUAAAGCGCGUGUAGGCGGCCAAGCAGGUCCGUUGUGAAAACUGGAGGCUUAACCUCCAGACGUCGACGGAAACCGCGUGGCUAGAGUCCGGAAGAGGAGAGUGGAAUUCCUGGUGUAGCGGUGAAAUGCGCAGAUAUCAGGAAGAACACCAAUGGCGAAGGCAGCUCUCUGGGACGGUACUGACGCUGAUGCGCGAAAGCGUGGGGAGCAAACGGG
rnacentral:rRNA from 1 species